UAACAAGGUUUCCGUAGGUGAACCUGCGGGAAGGAUCAUUACCCGAGUGGCGGGUCCUUUGGGCCCAACCUCCCCAUCCGUGUCUAUUGUACCCUGUUGCUUCGGCGGGCCCGCCGCUUGUCGGCCGCCGGGGGGGCGCCUCUGCCCCCCGGGCCCGUGCCCGCCGGAGACCCCAACACGAACACUGUCUGAAAGCGUGCAGUCUGAGUUGAUUGAAUGCAAUCAGUUAAAACUUUCAACAAUGGAUCUCUUGGUUCCGGCAUCGAUGAAGAACGCAGCGAAAUGCGAUAACUAAUGUGAAUUGCAGAAUUCAGUGAAUCAUCGAGUCUUUGAACGCACAUUGCGCCCCCUGGUAUUCCGGGGGGCAUGCCUGUCCGAGCGUCAUUGCUGCCCUCAAGCCCGGCUUGUGUGUUGGGUCGCCGUCCCCCUCUCCGGGGGGACGGGCCCGAAAGGCAGCGGCGGCACCGCGUCCGAUCCUCGAGCGUAUGGGGCUUUGUCACAUGCUCUGUAGGAUUGGCCGGCGCCUGCCGACGUUUUCCAACCAUUCUUUCCAGGUUGACCUCGGAUC
rnacentral:rRNA from 1 species